rnacentral:rRNA from 1 species
AGUCUGCAACCCGACUACAUGAAGCUGGAAUCGCUAGUAAUCGCGGAUCAGAAUGCCGCGGUGAAUACGUUCCCGGGUCUUGUACACACCGCCCGUCACACCAUGGGAGUCGAUAACGCCCGAAGUCAGUGACCCAACCUGUAAGGAGGGAGCUGCCGAAGGCGGGAUUGAUAACUGGGGUGAAGUCGUAACAAGGUACC